GCGUGCAGGUCGACGAUUACAUGCAAGUCGAGCGGGAUUGGUAGCAAUACCAUGAGAGCGUCGCACGGGUGAGUAACGCGUACACGACUUACCUCUGACAGGAGGAUAGCCCUUGGGAAUCUGGGAUUAAUACCGCAUAUUAUUCUGAUUAAUAAAGGAUUGGAAUGAAAGUUCAGGCGGUCAGAGAUGGGUGUGCGUCUGAUUAGCUAGUUGGUAGGGUAACGGCCUACCAAGGCGAUGAUCAGUAGGGGGCGUGAGAGCGUGGUCCCCCACACGGGUACUGAGACACGGACCCGACUCCUACGGGAGGCAGCAGUAAGGAAUAUUGGUCAAUGGGCGAAAGCCUGAACCAGCCAUCCAGCGUGCAGGAAGAAGGCCCUAUGGGUUGUAAACUGCUUUUAUCAGGGAAGAAACCUCUGGAUUUACUCCGGAGCUGACGGUACCUGAAGAAUAAGCACCGGCUAACUCUGUGCCAGCAGCCGCGCUCACACGGAGGGUGCGAGCGUUAUCCGGAAUUACUGGGUUUAAAGGGUGCGUAGGCGGCUUUGUAAGUCAGGAGUGAAAGUUUGCAGCUCAACUGUAAAAUUGCUUCUGAUACUGCAGAGCUGGAAUCAGGAUGAGGUCAGCGGAAUGUGGCAUGUAGCGGUGAAAUGCAUAGAUAUGCCAUAGAACACCAAUUGCGAAGGCAGCUGGCUAGACCUGUAUUGACGCUGAGGCACGAAAGCGUGGGGAGCGAACAGGAUUAGAUACCCUGGUAGUCCACGCCCUAAACGAUGCUUACUCGACGUAUGGCCCUUGUGGUUGUGCGUCCAAGGGAAACCGUUAAGUAAGCCACCUGGGGAGUACGGCCGCAAGGUUGAAACUCAAACGAAUUGACGG
rnacentral:rRNA from 1 species